GUCCACUCGUAGUUCAUAAGCAAGAUGAUUUGGUUUUCAUGCUGGUGUGUGAGAUGUGCCUCCCUCAAACCUUGUUACUAUGUUGGCACAAUACCAGUCUGAUA
ensembl:snoRNA